rnacentral:rRNA from 1 species
UAGGGAAUCUUCCGCAAUGGACGAAAGUCUGACGGAGCAACGCCGCGUGAACGAYGAAGGCCUUCGGGUCGUAAAGUUCUGUUGUUAGGGAAGAACAAGUACCAGAGUAACUGCUGGUACCUUGACGGUACCUAACCAGAAAGCCACGGCUAACUACGUGCCAGCAGCCGCGGUAAUACGUAGGUGGCAAGCGUUGUCCGGAAUUAUUGGGCGUAAAGCGCGCGCAGGUGGUUCUUUAAGUCUGAUGUGAAAGCCCACGGCUCAACCGUGGAGGGUCAUUGGAAACUGGGGGACUUGAGUGCAGAAGAGGAAAGUGGAAUUCCAAGUGUAGCGGUGAAAUGCGUAGAGAUUUGGAGGAACACCAGUGGCGAAGGCGACUUUCUGGUCUGUAACUGACACUGAGGCGCGAAAGCGUGGGGAGCGAACAGGAUUAGAUACCCUGGUAGUCCACGCCGUAAACGAUGAGUGCUAAGUGUUAGAGGGUUUCCGCCCUUUAGUGCUGCAGCUAACGCAUAAGCACUCCGC